rnacentral:tRNA from 1 species
GGAGAUGUGGCUCAGUGGUAGAGCUCUUGCCUUGCAUGCAGGACCCUGGGUUCAGUCCUCAUCAUCA